GAUGAACGCUGGCGGCGUGCCUAAUACAUGCAAGUCGAGCGAACAAAGGAGGAUCUUGCCCCUCUUACGUUAGCGACGGACGGGUAAGGCAUACGUGUAUAACCGGUAUAGGAGACUGGGGUCAGUUCGGGGAACCGGAGCUAGUAUCGGACAUUAGAUUGAACCGGAUGGAUCAUUAGUGAACGACGUAUUUGCUGUCCCUUAUUGAUAGAUCCGGGCCGCAUUAGCUAGUUGGUAAGGUAACGGCUUACCAAGGCAACGAUGCGUAGCCGACCUGAGAGGAUGAUCAGCCACACUGGAACUGAGACACGGUCCAGACUCCUACGGGAGGCAGCAGUAGGGAAUAUUGCGCAAUGGGCGAAAGCUUGACGGAGCAACGCCGCGUGAGUGAUGAAGGUCUUCGGAUCGUAAAACUCUGUUAUUAGGGAAGAACAAAAGUGUGUGUAACUAUGCACGUCUUGACGGUACCUAAACAGAAAGCAACGGCUAACUACGUG
rnacentral:rRNA from 1 species